rnacentral:rRNA from 1 species
UACGAAGGGAGCUAGCGUUGUUCGGAAUCACUGGGCGUAAAGCGCACGUAGGCGGAUGUGUCGGUCAGGGGUGAAAUCCCGGAGCUCAACUUCGGAACUGCCUUUGAUACAGCACGUCUUGAGUCCGAUAGAGGUGGGUGGAAUUCCUAGUGUAGAGGUGAAAUUCGUAGAUAUUAGGAAGAACACCGGUGGCGAAGGCGGCCCACUGGAUCGGUACUGACGCUGAGGUGCGAAAGCGUGGGGAGCAAACAGG